GGAGCAGAAGAUGAUCCAGCUGAAUGAAGUGUAGAGUGAAUCAGCAGUGAUGCAGGUAUGUGCGGUUUGAGUAUGUUGUGUAACAGAGUAGAACUGUCGUCCUGAAGUCCCACAGUUAAUGUGUCGUUGUUGUGUUUAUGCCACAGGCCCUGUGUGUGAUGAUAACAGAAGCUCGACAGCCAGUGUCAGGACACACAGCAGCUGACCCUCAGGCGUUUGCAGUGUCGGUCCUCUGAGGGUCAGACGGAGGGACCUGAACGGACCGUGGUCUGCUGCCUGUGGAGAUGAAGGUGGAGGAGAAGCUGGAGGUGAAGGUGGAGCUGCUGAAGUUCUGCUUGGCAGUCUUUAACACCGUGUUUCUGAGGAGGUGCAGGUGGUGUCCGUGGGCCUGCUGGUGA
rnacentral:lncRNA from 1 species